GUUAAAGUGGGACAUUCAGAGAGAUGGUUAGAACUAUGUGGAAAUGACAAACAGAAGUUAAUACAGGUAAAGUGUAGAACAGCCCCCAAGUGCAUAGGAAAUGCUGCUAUUGCUAUUUCCUUAGCUGAAAAUAGGUGAAUUUUUUUUUCAUAUGUAGUAUUGCAGAAACUUGGAAAAACUGUCUGGAUGGUGCAACGGAUUUUAAAGAGUUAAUUCCAGAAUUCUAUGGUGAUGAUGUGAGCUUUCUAGUCAAUAGCCUGAAGUUGGAUUUGGGAAAGAGACAAGGAGGACAGAUGGUUGACGAUGUGGAGCUUCCCCCUUGGGCUUCCAGUCCCGAGGACUUUCUCCAGAAGAGCAAAGAUGCAUUGGAAAGCAAUUAUGUGUCUGAACACCUUCACGAGUGGAUUGAUCUAAUAUUUGGCUACAAACAAAAAGGGAGUGAUGCAGUUGGGGCCCAUAAUGUAUUUCAUCCCCUGACCUAUGAAGGAGGUGUAGACUUGAACAGCAUCCAGGAUCCUGAUGAGAAGGUAGCCAUGCUUACGCAAAUCUUGGAAUUUGGGCAGACACCAAAACAACUAUUUGU
rnacentral:sRNA from 1 species